rnacentral:rRNA from 1 species
GAUGAACGCUGGCGGCGUGCCUAAUACAUGCAAGUCGAACGAAGGUAGCAAUACCUUAGUGGCGAACGGGUGAGUAACACGUAGGUAACCUGCCUUUCAGUUGGGGAUAACCGAGGGAAACUUUGGCUAAUACCGAAUUCGUGCUUCGAAGGCAUCUUCGGAGCAUAAAAGGGGCUUCAAAGCCUCGCUGAUUGAUGGACCUGCGGCGCAUUAGUUAGUUGGUGAGAUAACAGCCCACCAAGACGAGGAUGCGUAGCCGACCUGAGAGGGUGAUCGGCCACACUGGAACUGAGACACGGUCCAGACUCCUACGGGAGGCAGCAGUAGGGAGUUUUCGGCAAUGGGGGGAACCCUGACCGAGCAACGCCGCGUGAGUGAUGAAGGUCUUCGGAUUGUAAAGCUCUGUUAUAAGGGAAGAACGGCAGUUAGAGGAAAUGCUAGCUGUUUGACGGUACUUUAUGAGAAAGCCACGGCUAACUACGUGCCAGCAGCCGCGGUAAAACGUAG